GGGGCUGUAGCUCAGUGGCAGAGCGCUUGCCUAGCAUGCGUGAGGCACUGGGUUCGAUCCUUAGCACCA
rnacentral:tRNA from 1 species